UGGGGAAUAUUGCACAAUGGAGGGAACUCUGAUGCCGCGACGCCGCGUGAACGAAGAAGGCUUUCGAGUCGUAAAGUUCUUUUAUAUGGGAAGAUAAUGACGGUACCAUAAGAAAAAGCCCCGGCUAACUACGUGCCAGCAGCCGCGGUAAUACGUAGGGGGCUAGCGUUGUCCGGAAUCACUGGGCGUAAAGGGUUCGCAGGCGGAAAUGCAAGUCAGAUGUAAAAGGCAGUAGCUUAACUACUGUAAGCAUUUGAAACUGCAUAUCUUGAGAAGAGUAGAGGUAAGUGGAAUUUUUAGUGUAGCGGUGAAAUGCGUAGAUAUUAAAAAGAAUACCGGUGGCGAAGGCGACUUACUGGGCUCAUUCUGACGCUGAGGAACGAAAGCGUGGGUAGCAAACAGG
rnacentral:rRNA from 1 species